rnacentral:rRNA from 1 species
UGCAUGUCUAAGUACAUGCCGUAUUAAGGCGAAACCGCGAAUGGCUCAUUAAAUCAGUCAUGGUUCCUUGGAUCGUACCUUACUACUUGGAUAACUGUGGCAAUUCUAGAGCUAAUACAUGCAGCAGAGCUCCGACCUUCGGGGACGAGCGCUUUUAUUAGACCAAAACCAAUCGGACCUCGUGUCCGUCUCUUGUGGUGACUCUGUAUAACUUUGGGCUGAUCGCACGGGCCUGUCCCGGCGACGUAUCUUUCAAGUGUCUGCCUUAUCAACUUUCGAUGGUAGGUUACGCGCCUACCAUGGUCGUAACGGGUAACGGGGAAUCAGGGUUCGAUUCCGGAGAGGGAGCCUGAGAAACGGCUACCACAUCCAAGGAAGGCAGCAGGCGCGCAAAUUACCCACUCCCAGAACGGGGAGGUAGUGACGAAAAAUAACAAUACGGGACUCUUUUGAGACCCCGUAAUUGGAAUGAGUACACUCUAAAUCCUUUAACGAGGAUCCAUUGGAGGGUAAGUCUGGUGCCAGCAACCGCGGUAAUUCCAGCUCCAAUAGCGUAUAUUAAAGUUGUUGCGGUUAAAAAGCUCGUAGUUGGAUCUCAGUUCCAGACGGGUGGUCCGCCUACCGGUGGUUACUGCCUGUUCUGAACAGUCAGCCGGUUUCUCUUGAUGAUCUUCACCGGUUGUCUUGGGUGACCGGCAAGUUUACUUUGAAAAAAUUAGAGUGCUCAAAGCAGGCGUGACGCCUGAAUAAUGGUGCAUGGAAUAAUGGAAUAGGACCUCGGUUCUAUUUUGUUGGUUUUCGGAACACGAGGUAAUGAUUAAGAGGGACAGACCGGGGGCAUUCGUAUUGC